rnacentral:rRNA from 1 species
AGUGAACGCUGGCGGUAGGCCUAACACAUGCAAGUCGAACGGCAGCACAGGAGAGCUUGCUCUCUGGGUGGCGAGUGGCGGACGGGUGAGGAAUACAUCGGAAUCUACUCUGUCGUGGGGGAUAACGUAGGGAAACUUACGCUAAUACCGCAUACGACCUACGGGUGAAAGCAGGGGACCUUCGGGCCUUGCGCGAUUGAAUGAGCCGAUGUCGGAUUAGCUAGUUGGCGGGGUAAAGGCCCACCAAGGCGACGAUCCGUAGCUGGUCUGAGAGGAUGAUCAGCCACACUGGAACUGAGAGACGGUCCAGACUCCUACGGGAGGCAGCAGUGGGGAAUAUUGGACAAUGGGCGCAAGCCUGAUCCAGCCAUACCGCGUGGGUGAAGAAGGCCUUCGGGUUGUAAAGCCCUUUUGUUGGGAAAGAAAUCCAGCUGGCUAAUACCCGGUUGGGAUGACGGUACCCAAUGAAUAAGGACCGGCUAAUUCCGUGCCAGCAGCCGCAGUAA